rnacentral:rRNA from 1 species
GACGAACGCUGGCGGCGUGCCUAAUACAUGCAAGUAGAACGCUGAAGGAGGAGCUUCCUUCUCUGGAUGAGUUGCGAACGGGUGAGUAACGCGUAGGUAACCUGCCUGGUAGCGGGGGAUAACUAUUGGAAACGAUAGCUAAUACCGCAUAAUAGUAGAUGUUGCAUGACAUUUGCUUAAAAGGUGCAAUUGCAUCACUACCAGAUGGACCUGCGUUGUAUUAGCUAGUUGGUGGGGUAACGGCUCACCAAGGCGACGAUACAUAGCCGACCUGAGAGGGUGAUCGGCCACACUGGGACUGAGACACGGCCCAGACUCCUACGGGAGGCAGCAGUAGGGAAUCUUCGGCAAUGGACGGAAGGCUGACCGAGCAACGCCGCGUGAGUGAAGAAGGGUUUCGGAUCGGAAAGCUCUGUUGUAAGAGAAGAACGAGUGUGAGAGUGGAAAGUUCACACUGUGACGGUAUCUUACCAGAAAGGGACGGCUAACUACGUG